GUUAUUACCGCUGUGGUUUCUAUGUGUUCGAUACUGAUAUUGGUCUUUCCCACAUGCGCUCUUUUCACAAGGUUUCAUAUUUUUCACAGCAUCCGCUCACCCUAUGGGCACCCGCACCGGUGGGCUUGGCCCUUCUAUCUCCUCCAACCGCAGUUUUAAGAAGCAUAUUAACAAUGCACAAGGAGGAGGCAAGGCAAGUGUCGCCACUGUAAACACUAGGAUUCCAGUAUUGCUUCUGCGCAACACGACGUUGUACAAAAUAGAGCCCAUGUACAUCCCCAAUUACAUGGAGGUUCUGACACGCCCGUUGCAAGCAUGCUUCCCGGACAGCUGAAGCUUCAGCCUCUCAGAAAAGAUCCCGAACUUUUCCAAAGGCUCCGACUUCUCAGAGAAGCUCCCGAACUGUUCCAAAGCUGCCAGUAACAAUUUUCCCAGUACACAUGCCCUCGAUGCAGCUCACGCUACUGUUCCCUGCACCGCUACAAGGACAGGGAGGAAGACAAGGAGUUGGACCCUAGAUGUGCUCUCCUUCGUCCAUCAUGCGUCUGCAUGUCCUCAUCACAAGAUAAGUACCAUCUUUAUACUUGAUUUUCUACUGUUUUGUUUGGUUUUGAUUCUCUCUGCCAUUCUCACUCCACUCUCUCCGUCUCUCACUCAGUUCGAAGCUCUUCAACUUUUUUGCACAAGCUCUCAAACAUCUCAGAUCCCUCACUCACUCUUCAACUUUUUCGCACAAGCUCUCAAACAUCUCAGAUCCCUCACUCACCCUUCGAUCUUCAACUUUUUACCAUAAAUUAAUUUAAUUUCUAUUGCAGCAAAUCUGGUCAUUUUCUAUGUAAGUUUCCCCUCAUGGUUCAGUUCUGGCAUUCCCCUCAAAACAUCAUUUGUGUCAUUUCCUCUUUUUCUGUGUUCAGCUUACAUACCUUACAUAUAUAUUGGAGACUAUGACGAUAAAAGAUGUCAGUUGAAUGUAUAUAAAAGCCAAGCUGCUUAUCUUAUAGACCUCAUGCACUCAUGUGUCCCUUUGUUCAUUCAUGAUUGUUUUGAAUUUAUUCAGGUUAAAUGCGUUUUAUUCAUGCAGUUACGUUUAAAACAGUUGAUUCCCGCCGCAACACGCUGGCGUAUUUUCUAUAUAGACUAAGAUUUGAUAGAUGAACAUGUUCAAAGGGAAAUCAAGCAUCCGAAUAUCAUUCGAUCCAAAGAGUUACGUCUAAAACAGUUGAUUCCCGCCGCAACAUGCGGGCAUAUUUUCUAUAUAGACUAAGAUUUGGUAAUAUAUGGAGAUAGAUGAACAUGUUCAAAGGGAAAUCAAGCAUCCGAAUAUCAUUCGAUCCAAAGAGAUCCAGAUGGAUGAACAUGUUCAAAGGGAAAUCAUAAACCAUAAAUCACUGAUGAAUCCGAAUAUCAUUCGAUUCAAAGAGUUACUUUUCAGCAUCUGACAACACUGAUAUAGCAUUUGAUGUACACUUCACUUUUGAAACCCAAUCGGAAUUAUGUUCCGGUCAAUAUUGAGGAUCCAGGUAGCUCGAGGUCUCUCUUUUCUAUCUUUCCCCCUCCCUAUAUCCCUCCCUAUAUGUAGUUUAAUAUAAUUGAACAGCUCUAUUUAUUUAAGAUUUAGUUGCGUUCAUCAUAACUGAAAUUUGUUGCAAGAAAUUGGGGGAUGAAUUUAGUUUCGGGGGAAUGUUAUUUAUUCUUAUACUGCACAGAAAAAAAAGAAGCAAUGCAUUGGGUGCAAGUGUGUGUUUUUUAUCAUUUAUUUUUGUAGUUUGAAAGUCAAUUGUGUUUUUGUUGCCGCAUCAUAUAAUUAUUCAAAAUGCCCUUUUUAGCAUUUCAAUACCA